UAAGGAAUAUUGGUCAAUGGGCGCAAGCCUGAUCCAGCCAUGCCGCGUGCAGGAUGAAGGUGCUCUGCAUUGUAAACUGCUUUUAUUCGGGAAUAAACUCUGCUAUUCUUAGUGGACUGAAUGUACCGAAAGAAUAAGGGACGGCUAACUUCGUGCCAGCAGCCGCGGUAAUACGAAGGUCCCAAGCGUUAUCCGGAUUUAUUGGGUUUAAAGGGUGCGUAGGCGGAUUAUUAAGUCAGUGGUGAAAUCCUACAGCUUAACUGUAGAACUGCCAUUGAUACUGAUGAUCUUGAGUUUGGUUGAGGUGGGCGGAAUGUGUCAUGUAGCGGUGAAAUGCUUAGAUAUGACACAGAACACCGAUUGCGAAGGCAGCUCACUAAGCCAAUACUGACGCUGAUGCACGAAAGCGUGGGGAGCAAACAG
rnacentral:rRNA from 1 species